CAGCAGCCACGGUAAUACGAAGGGUGCAAGCGUUAAUCGGAAUUACUGGGCGUAAAGCGCGCGUAGGUGGUUUGUUAAGUUGGAUGUGAAAUCCCCGGGCUCAACCUGGGAACUGCAUUCAAAACUGACUGACUAGAGUAUGGUAGAGGGUGGUGGAAUUUCCUGUGUAGCGGUGAAAUGCGUAGAUAUAGGAAGGAACACCAGUGGCGAAGGCGACCACCUGGACUAAUACUGAUACUGAGGUGCGAAAGCGUGGGGAGCAAACCGGAUUAGAUACCCGUGUAGUCCCUGUCUCUUAUAA
rnacentral:rRNA from 1 species